GUGACUCGGAAUGCACUGACAAACUCAAAUUCCAAAUGCGGUCCACUGAUUCCGAAGUUUCGACUUUGAAGUCAGAUAUUAUUAUAAAUAUAUUUUGUUCAAAAGAAAUUAUUAUGAAGAAUCGCAGUCAGUAGACUGGGAAAGUCGUCUUGUGCUUAUGAAUGCUUUAGAAAAGCAAGAAGGUCAAACUCUGACCAAUUUCAUUCGGAUUAUCUAGUUCUGUGAUAGGGAUACACAUUUUCGUAAGCAUUGUCCAAAAAUGCGUGUGAAAACUUUAGAUUCUGCUGCGGUUUUGUCCUUUUUCUGUCCCUAUCCUCGUUUUUCCAGUUUCUAUGUAUGGCGUGAUAAGGAGCCUGUGUCUAUAAAAGUCAAUUUUUGCAGUAGAUAAGAUGAGUAGUCUGAAAGACUUGUGGAAGUGCUGAUUCCAACGAAGACAGAGCUUAAGUGUGUACCAAGAGAUGGUCAGAGGACUCAAGGCAGGAGGAGGAGGAGGAGGAGGAAUCUGGGACGGACAAAACUUUGGGGGCUUAGGAAGUGUAGUUUGGGUUUUGUGGGUGGCGUUCCUCAGUUCGUCUUUCAUCUUAGCCGUUAUCCUCUCCUGUGGAGGUGGUGCAACCAGAGACAAGGCUUCUUCUGCUACCCAAACUGAUGCCCGCGGGGCUGCAUGUGGUGCAGGUUGCAGCGCUGCAUGUGGUGGUUGAUCACCGUGCUGCUCUCUGACUUCUUAUCACCUACCUGAUCUGCUGAUUCUUUUCAGUUGUGAAUCGGGAGAAAAACCAAACUAGAGAUGACGAAAAACAAAGGUUCAGGAGUUGUAAUAACAGCCUACUAUCAAUAGAUGUCAAAAGAUAGACAACAAUUCACCCGGAGGUGCAGCCACAGUUAAGUGGCAAGUUUGGUGGGAGGCAAGGAUUUUUCAACAGCCUCUUGGCUGUUGGCCUCUAUUUUAGUAUUUGAAAGCUCUAUUUUAAUGGCGUUCUGAUUGUACAUCAGCGAAUUGGGUCUUACUAAACAGGCAUAAGGCAUAUCAUAGGCAGUUCCCAUGUUUGAACUUUGACCUGGAAUAAGAACUCAACAGGCCAAGAGACAUUUCCCAAACACCACCAUGGAUCUUGCAUACAAGUACAGAACGUAAGACUUGAGUUUACAAGGAUUCUUCUCAGCUGUAAAUUUCUUUAGGUGUUAAUUCUAUUACUUUCCUACUCUUUCUUCACACACUAUCCAGCUUAUUUGAACAAUUUGGGGUACAA